AGUGAACGCUGGCGGUAGGCCUAACACAUGCAAGUCGAACGGCAGCACAGUAAGAGCUUGCUCUUACGGGUGGCGAGUGGCGGACGGGUGAGGAAUACAUCGGAAUCUACUUUUUCGUGGGGGAUAACGUAGGGAAACUUACGCUAAUACCGCAUACGACCUACGGGUGAAAGCAGGGGAUCUUCGGACCUUGCGCGAUUGAAUGAGCCGAUGUCGGAUUAGCUAGUUGGCGGGGUAAAGGCCCACCAAGGCGACGAUCCGUAGCUGGUCUGAGAGGAUGAUCAGCCACACUGGAACUGAGACACGGUCCAGACUCCUACGGGAGGCAGCAGUGGGGAAUAUUGGACAAUGGGCGCAAGCCUGAUCCAGCCAUACCGCGUGGGUGAAGGAGGCCUUCGGGUUGUAAAGCCCUUUUGUUGGGAAAGAAAAGCAGCAGGUUAAUACCCCGCUGUUCUGACGGUACCCAAAGAAUAAGCGCCGGCUAACUUCGUG
rnacentral:rRNA from 1 species